UAAGGUUCACAGAUGCUGGAAAAA
rnacentral:piRNA from 1 species